rnacentral:tRNA from 1 species
ACCUGGCUGGCUCAGUCAUUAGAGCAUGUGACUCUUGAUCUCAGGGUUGUGGGUUCAAGCCCCACACUGGGUA